rnacentral:rRNA from 1 species
UACGUAGGGUGCAAGCGUUGUCCGGAAUUAUUGGGCGUAAAGAGCUCGUAGGCGGUCUGUCGCGUCUGCUGUGAAAACUCAGGGCUUAACCCUGAGCUUGCAGUGGGUACGGGCAGACUAGAGUGGCGGUAGGGGAGACUGGAAUUCCUGGUGUAGCGGUGAAAUGCGCAGAUAGUCAGGAGGAACACCGGUGGCGAAGGCGGGUCUCUGGGC